GUUCUCGCUUCAGCAGAACAUACACUAAAAUUGGAGCAAUACAGAGAAGAUUAGCAUGGCCCCUGCACAAGGAUGAUAUUAAGCAUUCCAUAUUUUU
rnacentral:snRNA from 1 species